AUGGGGCCUGGGUGGUUGCAACGCCAAGGCAGUAGCAGCAGCCUCGCUCUGGGUGUGGCCUCCAUGUGCACCGGCGGGGGACACGGCUACGAGCCACUUUCAAGGGGACAGGCAUGGACCUGGACGGGGUCCCAGACCACACUCGACGUGGACAGAGAGGCUCCAGGGCCACUCCGAGCUCUGUCUGGAGACAGCUGGCCGCACACCAGGGAGUUCUCCAGAUUCACUUCUUGGGCAGAAGACCUCCCUCAUCCACGGUGCCAGUCGCCAACGAUCAGCCACAGUCCCCAAACUAGCAUUUGUGAGUUGCAUCAGGUGCCAGUUGGAGGCUUACAACAAUCCUACCCUAACCCUUGGAGCCAUGGUCUGGGACACAGGUAUCUUUUCCGGGGGCAAGGAGGGGGGUAUUGUAUGGUGGGUACAGCUCAGACCAACAGAAGCACAGUGACAACCGACAGCAGACACCAGGUUGGUGCUAUCCUCAUCGCCCGUGGGGAGGCAGAGCCCCGCCCCGCCACACCCUGGGCGUGCACCUCCACCAGUUCACCCGGGCAGGAGCAGAACUUAGCACAGCUCAGCCAGCACUGUGGACACCGCGCCCAGGGAAGCAUGCCCUCCCCCAGGAGCCUCAUUCUCUGCCCCACACAGACCCAAGUAGUAACCUCCCCUCGCUCCCGUCAGCCUUGGCUCUGCAGAUCUGCAGAAGCACUCCCAAAAGGCAGCAGGUGCUUUCCAAAUGCUCAUUUGCUUUCCUCUGAGAAUCAUUUUUAA
rnacentral:lncRNA from 1 species